rnacentral:lncRNA from 1 species
UUCAAAGAAAGAUAAAAACAAAAUUACACCCAAUACUCUUGUUCAAAGUGAACAUGAAUUAUUAGCCUUGAAGAAAGUUACUGAUGAUGCAGUUCGUGAAAUAACAGUGGAUGAACCCACUAAGAAAUAGAAGGAGAAGGAAAAAAAAAAAAAAAGCAAGCCAAAUUUUGAAGUACUUGAUGGUAAUGAAAAACGACCCGAAGUAAUGCCCAAGGUAACUGAAGAGAAAAGAAAAGAUUUAAAUGAAAGUAAAGAUGAUUAUGUGGCACUUGUUGAAUCUAAAGAGAAAAAGAAGGAAAAAAAGCUGAAGAAGGAUAGCCUUCUUGAAGAUGGUGAGGAGGGCAGCUUGAAAAAUAAAAGUAAAGUGGAUGCUGAUAAAGUUGUUUGUGGCAUUCUAUUAGAAGGG